CAUUUUCUGUACAAAUAAAAGUGAUAAAAUAUUCUCUUCAUGCUUCCUCUGUCUACAAGUCUCUAAGUGGCAGUAACAAAAAGCUUAUCAACAUGUCUUCUGUAACUCCAUCACUUGCCCUGAUAACUUCACCCCAUUUCAUUUCCUGAUCUUCCCAACACUCACUCUUUCAUUUGUUCACAGCUUUAGUCAUUCAGUCUGCUCUGAUUCCUAGCACCCACAGAGAUAUGCUUGUCUCUUUUAUAAUUUAAAAAACAUGAAAAAAAGUGCCUUUGGUAUAAGUGCCUUCUUGCCACCUCAUAGGUUCUUCCAGUCACAUCUCUUUGUUUCUUGUUGGGUUCUACCCAAAAUGCCCAUCAAAGUUGGUUUUGCUUCCUCUUAUCUGAAAGCUUCUCAAACCAUUUUAAGCCAAUCCCAAUCUCUUGUUGGCCCUUCAGUCACAUUUAGCAUAUCUAGCUCAUGUCUCAGCUUAGUUUUUCCUCACUUUUCACUUCUCCAGUCACUGUUUCUUCAUGGUUUCCCAGUCCCUUCUUCCCCUGUGUUUCUUUCCUUUUCCUGCAGGAGCAUUGGUGAGCACUGUCCUUGACUCUCCUCCCUUCCCUCCAAGCUCACUGUACCUUUUGUUUCACUCUCUAAAGACAUCUCCUGUUUGCUGGCAGCCCUACAACUGAACCCCACUGCUGCCCUUUCAGACAAACACCUUCCUGCUUUAUCCCACCUUGUGGCUCAGGAUGAGCUCCUGCUGAACGCCUGCAGAGGCUGGGGCUGACAACUGACUUCCUGUAAAGCUCCUCCUCAUCUAUAUACAGACAUUCUACAUAAAUACUGCAUAUAGGUAUCAGGCUUUCACCUAAACUUUAGAGCAGAAACACUUGCAUAUGUUUGCUGCUUCAUUGUUCUAGACAAUGUUUAACCUAAUGCUUGCUUGGAUUAUCCCUGAGGCCACCAAGCUCAGAGACAAGUUGUCACUGUGGUCCUACCACAAUGAAGAAAUGAAUGUAUGAAUAAACCAAUAAAAAUAUUUUAUCUAACAAAUUAAAAGAGGCAAUUGGUUAAAUAAGGCUUUUUUAAAACUAUAUUGUCAAUUCCUCCUUAAAGACAUCUUCUAUUCAUCUUAAUUCCAUGUACCAUAAGGAAUCCUUUUUGCCAUACUUAUUUGGGCCAUUACAUUCAGUCCCAGCAUUAAAAUAUAUGGGAUUACUUGCAUAGUUGUUAUUAUUAUUAAUAAAAUGUAUUUAAUUAUGCUGUGCAUAAAGACUAACUCAGACAGAAGUUUCCUAUAAUGUGGUGUUUGGUGUAGAGUAGGCAGUCUGUGACCUGAGAUGCUUACAAUCAAUUUAGACAAGACAGGCAUAGGAUGUGGGAAACAGAGAAAUUACACUAAGUUUUAAGGCAGUGGAUGAUAUGUUGUUUCUUUUUUUUUUUUCUUUUUUAGAAGAGAAGCUAGAAAAAUCAACAGAAGAGAAAUAAUGAGGAAAUGGAGGAUGACCAAGAGAAAGAAGGAAAUAAUGAAGAUGGGCAUGGGACAAAACCCAUAUUAACAGACAGCAAAGGCAGGGCUUGGCAUAAACUCAGUAAAUGUGUCAUAUAGGGAGAAUUACCACCCAAGAAGGUAUGUGUGUACUUUUCUUUGAUUAACCACAGUCUUUGAGUGGGGAGUGAAAAGCAAGACGAAAACCCAAGUCACAGCCCAGAGGAAUUCUUUAAAAUUACCUGUGGCAUGAUGGGGCCUGGUGAGACAAAAAAUAAUCACAACGACCCAUAUGCUCAAAUUUCUCAGUCCUUGAUGUCUAGAUGCAUAAAGAAUGACUUUGUUAG